CAAGUCGAACGCGAAAGCCCCCUUCGGGGGGCAAGUAGAGUGGCGCACGGGUGAGUAACACGUAGGUAAUCUACCUUUGGAUUGGGAAUAACCACCGGAAACGGUGGCUAAUACCGAAUAAUGCAGCGGCACCUAAUGGUGACAGUUGUUAAAGCGGGGGAUCGCAAGACCUCGCGUCUAAAGAGGAGCCUGCGGCGAAUUAGCUAGUUGGUAGGGUAACGGCUUACCAAGGCGAUGAUCCGUAGCCGGCCUGAGAGGGCGGUCGGCCACACUGACACUGACAUACGGGUCAGACUCCUACGGGAGGCAGCGGUCGGGAAUUUUGGGCAAUGGGCGAAAGCCUGACCCAGCAACGCCGCGUGAAGGAUGAAAUCCCUCGGGAUGUAAACUUCGCAAGAACGGGAAGAAUAAGCCGGUGUUAAUACCUCCGGCGAUGACGGUACUGUUUGUAAGCUCCGGCUAACUCCGUGCCAGCAGCCGCGGUAAUACGGGGGGAGCAAGCGUUGUUCGGAUUUACUGGGCGUAAAGGGCGCGUAGGCGGCCACCGCAAGUCGACUGUGAAAUCUCCGGGCUUAACCCGGAAAGGUCAGCCGAUACUGCGGGGCUAGAGUGCAGAAGGGGCAACUGGAAUUCUCGGUGUAGCGGUGAAAUGCGUAGAUAUCGAGAGGAACACCUGCGGCGAAGGCGGGUUGCUGGGCUGACACUGACGCUGAGGCGCGAAAGCUAGGGGAGCGAACGGGAUUAGAUACCCCGGUAGUCCUAGCCUUAAACGAUGAAUGCUUGGUGUCUGGGGUUACAUAGUCCCCGGGUGCCGUCGCUAACGCUUUAAGCAUUCCGCCUGGGGAGUACGGUC
rnacentral:rRNA from 1 species